rnacentral:rRNA from 1 species
UACGUAGGUGGCAAGCGUUGUCCGGAUUUACUGGGCGUAAAGAGCGCGCAGGCGGUCGUUCAAGUCGCGUGUGAAAGCCCCCGGCUCAACUGGGGAGGGUCACGCGAUACUGAUCGACUCGAAGGCAGGAGAGGGUAGUGGAAUUCCCGGUGUAGUGGUGAAAUGCGUAGAUAUCGGGAGGAACACCAGUGGCGAAGGCGACUACCUGGCCUGUAACUGACGCUGAGGCGCGAAGGCUAGGGGAGCAAACAGG